AAGGCGAUCACGUCAGCUUUACUUUGCUUUUAAUCACAUUGGUAUAUUAAGCUAAUGAAUGAUAUCAGUGUUUGCUCUAAUAAUGUAACCAGAUACACAUUAUGCAUCGCUGCAACUGCAGGGCAUGUUACUACGCAAUUGCAAACUGCGUGUGGCGUGAUGGUUAAAGAGUUUCCUGAAAACAACAGGUGUGGAUGUGAAUCAUGCAGCUACAGUAUAUGUUUACAAAGAUCAAGGGCAAUGCCAAAAUAGGCUUACAAAAUCAUAUGUAAUGACAUGGGGAUUUAUAAGCAUCAAGUGUGGAUUUAAAUUUUGGCUUUCACCUGAAGAGACGCAUGAAGAAAAAUGUAAUAUUUACUUGUGUGAAUCUGGAAAGAAAUGUGCUUAAACAGCUUGUCAAAAACUGAUAUGAAGUGAUAUUAUAACUCUGUAUUAUAUUAUAAAAUCGCUGAUACUAUAAACCAAUAAAUGGCCAUAACCACUCUAUUUUACCUAUAAAGGUGAUUUUCUCAAUAUUUUGAUUUUUUGCACCCUUAGAUUCCAGAUUUUCAAAUAGUUGUAUCUCGGCCAAAUAUUGUCCUAUCCUAACAAUUCAGCUUUCAGAUGAUGUGUAAGUCUCAAUUUAAAAAUUUACCCUUAUGACUGGUUUUGUGGUCCAGGGUCACAUAUAAUCUCUCUAAAAGAAACCGAUGCAAGAUAUAAGUUUCAAAUACACUUAUAUUACCUAACCAAAUUGACAUAAAAAUCAUAAACAAAAAUCCAUUAUGCCUGUAACAUGUAUCCAGUGUUAUGUAUCAAAAAGUCAAAGAUGAUCAAUGAAGAUACUGUAUGACACCACACCGCUAUUAGGUUUUGUGCCAAUUCUAACAGUACAGCAUAUUUAGUCAAUACAAUAGCACUAAUGGGUACAGAAAAACUGUUUACUAUUGUACUGCAUAUGGCCUGCAGUCAUUCUGAUUUCCUGAACUAUUUUUUACAUUAUGACUGAAAUGAUAAGUACUAUAGUUGACCUGAAUGUGUGUGUGAGUGUGUGAGACAGGUUUCAUGUCUAAACUAACUUAAGUUUAAGCAAGUUUCAUUUAAUAUUGCAUUUCCACACGCAUAUGAUCUUGAGAGUUUUCUUUUAAGUAGGCUAAUACUCUUGAAAUUAGAAAAUUCGGAUAACCACUUCCUGUUAAGCCCUCCGGUGUAAUCAAUGCAUCACGUAUGACGUUUGUGCACACGUUCCCACAUCCGACCUAGACGGUCAUCUGAUGCACGACAGAUAUCUGUUUUAUAACGAUGUUUGUUUGGAGUGUGAAUGCGUUGCUGCGCGUUUGGCUAGCAUCGCGUGUCUAGCAGAGCAGUCUAGCACAAUUUGGUGACGCAAAGGAGCUAUUAAUAUCACAGGAACGGGAUGUACUCACUUCUGCAGCGGGUCACUUGAGGACAAACAGUGAACAAUAUUUCUGGUGCGCUGCAGCUUUUGGUGCUGCAGCCUCCUUGACUAGCCCCCCGGAGGGUGGGGAUGGGAGUAGAGCGCAGUCUCGAGGGUACCCCCAGCCUGUAAGGGGCGAUGAGGAUAUGUGGCAAACAGGGCGGGGCCGAGAGCCGUGGGAACGGAGAGAGUCUCACGGAGGAGCCCCGGAAGAGGAGUGGCGACAGUGAAGGAUGAGAGAGGACCAGGCCUGGACUUUAUGUUGUUGUUUUGUUUUCGUUUAUGUGGCAGUUGUCCAUGAGGGGCUGCCGCUUUACUUUCAUUUUGUUGUUUGUUUAUUUUAUUAUUAAAAUUAUGUUAAAUGUU